UACAGAGGUGGCAAGCGUUGUUCGGAAUUACUGGGCGUAAAGGGCGCGUAGGCGGCCUUCUAAGUCAGACGUGAAAUCCCCCGGCUUAACCUGGGAACUGCGUCUGAUACUGGGAGGCUUGAGUAUGGGAGAGGGAUGUAGAAUUCCAGGUGUAGCGGUGAAAUGCGUAGAUAUCUGGAGGAAUACCGGUGGCGAAGGCGGCAUCCUGGACCAUUACUGACGCUCAGGCACGAAAGCGUGGGGAGCAAACAGG
rnacentral:rRNA from 1 species